rnacentral:rRNA from 1 species
AGAGUUUGAUCAUGGCUCAGAACGUACGCUGGCGGCACGCCUUAUACAUGCAAGUCGAACGGAGUAGCAAUACUUAGUGGCAGACGGGUGAGUAACAUGUGGGUAUCUUCCCUUUGGUGAGGAAUAACACGAGGAAACUUGUGCUAAUACCUCAUAAGUCUUUACGGAGAAAGCUUUAUGCGCCAAUGGAUGAGCCCGCACUUGAUUAGUUUGUUGGUAGGGUAAUGGCCUACCAAGACGGUGAUCAAUAGCUGAUCUGAGAGGAUGAUCAGCCACAUUGGGACUGAGACACGGCCCAAACUCCUACGGGAGGCAGCAGUAGGGAAUAUUGCACAAUGGAGGAAACUCUGAUGCAGCGAUGCCGCGUGAGUGAAGAAGGCCCUUGGGUUGUAAAGCUCUUUCGUCGGGGAAGAAAAUGACUGUACCCGAAUAAGAAGGUCCGGCUAACUUCGUGCCAGCAGCCGCGGUAAUACGAAGGGACCUAGCGUAGUUCGGAAUUACUGGGCUUAAAGAGUUCGUAGGUGGUUAAAAAAGUUGGUGGUGAAAUCCCAGAGCUUAACUCUGGAACUGCCAUCAAAACUUUUUAGCUAGAGUAUGAUAGAGGAAAGCAGAAUUUCUAGUGUAGAGGUGAAAUUCGUAGAUAUUAGAAAGAAUACCAAUUGCGAAGGCAGCUUUCUGGAUCAUUACUGACACUGAGGAACGAAAGCAUGGGUAGCGAAGAGGAUUAGAUACCCUCGUAGUCCAUGCCGUAAACGAUGUGUGUUAGACGUUGGAAAUUUAUUUUCAGUGUCGCAGCGAAAGCAAUAAACACACCGCCUGGGGAGU